rnacentral:rRNA from 1 species
CAGAGGUGGCAAGCGUUGUUCGGAAUUACUGGGCGUAAAGGGCGCGUAGGCGGCCUUCUAAGUCAGACGUGAAAUCCCCCGGCUUAACCUGGGAACUGCGUCUGAUACUGGAGGGCUCGAGUUUGGGAGAGGGAUGUAGAAUUCCAGGUGUAGCGGUGAAAUGCGUAGAUAUCUGGAGGAAUACCGGUGGCGAAGGCGGCAUCCUGGACCAACACUGACGCUGAGGCGCGAAAGCUAGGGGAGCAAACGGGAUUAGAUACCCCGGUAGUCCUAGCCCUAAACGAUGAAUGCUUGGUGUGGCGGGUAUCGAUCCCUGCCGUGCCGAAGCUAACGCAUUAAGCAUUCCGCCUGGGGAGUACGGUCGCAAGGCUG